UAAAAAAAACAUAUAAUGGGUUUCCAUAGUUGAUUUCCAGUCUACAUUGCCCAGUUUGUUGAUUACCUAAGGGCUCAACCCCUGUUUGAUUUCGAAGUUUUCUUUACUGGAUGGUUUGCUGUCCACAUCUAUAGGACCUCAUCUGCCCGGGGUUCGAACUCGUUAAUUUCGGGUUAGCAGGCACAAGCCACAAUCUCUCACACAUGACCACCUGGGAUGAUGUAAUGUAAAGUGAGAUGGACAAUAAGACGGAUGAUCGGAUUUAUGGAUGUGUACAUGGAAGGAUGGAGCGAUGAAAAAACUCAGAUGAAGCAGACGGCGAAGAGCGUGGCUAGAAGCAGAAACCCGCCUACACAG